GUUUUCCUACCAGAUGGAGCCAGGUUCUAUAUCUUUGUCUUGGCAGCCGUGUGCUGGGCGAUCUGGAAUUGUCGCAACCAGGCUACCUUUGAACAAAAAUAGCUUAAGACUCCAUUUAACGUGGUAUAUUCCGCUUGUGGUUUUUUGACAUAUUGGGCAGGUUUAAUGGCUGGUGCUGAUCGGGAAGCAAUGGAACAUGGAGCCAAGAUGCUCAGGACGAAUGCUUAG
rnacentral:rRNA from 1 species